UCGUGUUCAUAGGUUGAAGUUCUAACCCACCGUACCUCAGAAUGAGGUUGUAUUUGGAGACAAGGUGGUUAAGUUGAAAUGCAGUCAGGUGUCCUUAUACAAAGAGGAGGUAUGGACACAGACACAUACAGAGGGAUGACCACGUCAGGACACGAGGAGAAGACGGCCAUCUACAAGCCAAGAAGAGAGACCUCAGAAGAAACCAGCUCUGCUGAUGGCUUGAUCUUACUUCCAGCCUCCAGAAUUAUGGUGAUGAACAGGAAUGCUGAUCGCAUUAGCAUUGGCAGUGAAAAAACUAAGUUUCAGAGAGCUUUGUCACUCACCCAAGGUCACAUUAGUGUGAUCUCAAGUCUGUUGUACCUAAAGCCUUUGGAUCUGCUACAACACUGAACUGCUCCCCAUGCUGACACAAAGGACUGAGAACUAAAACCCCCAACAAAUGGAAGAUGUUAACGACUUGAUGAAGCGUUCUUCAUUCCAGAGAGAAGGUCACAGUUUGAUAACUGUGAGAAUCACAGAAGCUCAUCAGGAGACCACCUGAGGCCAGAUUGGAGGAGUGCAGGCCCUGGACACACCCUAAUCCUUAUCAGCAACCCUGCCCUUGAACCAUUGCUAUAAAACUCCUCACUUAAUCCUCCCCAGGUUUGGACACAGUUUUGAGAGGCAUGAGCCCUGUCUGCCCCCU